rnacentral:rRNA from 1 species
AUUGAACGCUGGCGGCAGGCCUAACACAUGCAAGUCGAGCGAGCGGCGGACGGGUGAGUAAUGUAUGGGAAACUGCCCGAUGGAGGGGGAUAACUACUGGAAACGGUAGCUAAUACCGCAUACUAUCAGAUGUGCCCAUAUGGGAUUAGCUCGUAGGUGGGGUAAUGGCUCACCUAGGCGACGAUCCCUAGCUGGUCUGAGAGGAUGAUCAGCCACACUGGGACUGAGACACGGUCCAGACUCCUACGGGAGGCAGCAGUGGGGAAUAUUGCACAAUGGGCGCAAGCCUGAUGCAGCCAUGCCGCGUGUAUGAAGAAGGCCCUCGGGUUGUAAAGCACUUUCAGCGGGGAGGCGUUACCCACAGAAGAAGCACCGGCUAACUCCGUGCCAGCAGCCGCGGUAAUUC